rnacentral:rRNA from 1 species
ACAGCAGUAGCCGCGGUAAUACAGAGGGUGCGAGCGUUAAUCGGAUUUACUGGGCGUAAAGCGUGCGUAGGCGGCUUUUUAAGUCGGAUGUGAAAUCCCUGAGCUUAACUUAGGAAUUGCAUUCGAUACUGGGAAGCUAGAGUAUGGGAGAGGAUGGUAGAAUUCCAGGUGUAGCGGUGAAAUGCGUAGAGAUCUGGAGGAAUACCGAUGGCGAAGGCAGCCAUCUGGCCUAAUACUGACGCUGAGGUACGAAAGCAUGGGGAGCAAACAGGAUUAGAGACCCCGGUAGUCCCUGUCUCUUAUAA